GGUACCAUCGGUCUCGUUUCCAGGUCGCCAUCUUCCACCCUGCGUGACCAAUAUUGGCUCAGUCUCUCCGGCUUCCUCGGAGGCGCUUGUGGAAUAUGCUCCUGUUGUUCCACGGAACCUUUGGGUCGGGUGCCGGUACUCUGUCUUCGCCAUUCUGGAGCCUUCGCACCGCCUUCUCUGCCAUUCGGACCAUCCUCCCAGCCCAGAUCCUGGAUCAGCUCUCCCUUCUGGCGCAGGGGGGUCAUUGCCUCCGUUAUGGCACCCAUCAGCUCCAUAAAUCCUCGACGGAUCUCCUCUUGCAGCGUCCUGCUGAUGGUGUCCGCCAUAGCUCCUCUCUGCGUCUCCUGCGCUUGUGCUAUGGCGACGUUUAUGCCCGAAAGAAUUUCCGACGGCAAUUCUUUUGGGUACUUCGGCUGGUUCCAACUGUCGUUCUCUCCUCCUUCUGCGCCCUGUUCC
rnacentral:lncRNA from 1 species